rnacentral:rRNA from 1 species
AUUGUGUCUUGGAACGUUAGAGGCCUCAACAUGCCGGCCAAACGCCUAGUCGUUCAAGAAGCAAUCGCUACCUGGAAACCUGUAAUAGUUUGCUUGCAGGAGACCAAGAUCAGCGCCUGGGAUCAUGCCUUAGCCAGAGAGAUAGGUGGAUCGUUGUUAGAUCAGGCCUUUCACUUACCUGCGUCUGGCACCAUGGGAGGGAUUAGCCUUUUCUGGAACAGCGCCCUUGUGCAAGCAUCUGACCUUACGGCCAUGCAGUUCAACCUCACUGCAAGCAUCAGGCUGCUGACCUCCCACUCGCAUUUCUGCUUGACAAGUGUCUAUGGACCAGUAGACGAUAGCCUCAAGGAAAGUUUCUUGGCUGAUAUGUGCAGCUUUGCACCACCACUAGGCCACCCAUGGAUCGUGCUCGGAGGUUUUAACCAAAUCUAUGAAGCCAGGGACAAAAAUAACCUCAAUCUCAAUCGCAGACUCAUGGGAAAAUUCCGCAAUACCAUCAACUAUGCUGAGCUUUUUGAGAUUAGAUGCAAAAACAAGAAAUUCACCUGGAGCAACGAGCAACAGCCCCCCACCCUCGUUGCCCUGGACCAUGUCUUCUGCAACCCGGCCUGGGACGUGCUGUUCCCCUCAGUUAUAUAG